rnacentral:tRNA from 2 species
GGGGAUAUAGCUCAGUUGGCCAGAGCAUUAGCAUGGCAUGCUAAGGGUCGCGGGUUCGACUCCCGCUAUCUCCA